GAAGGUAUUUUGUAAAACAUAAAGUUAAUCUGUCACUUCAGGGAAAACAACUAUUUGUUGCCAAUGACAAACUGGAGAUUUCAAACAAAAAUGAGAAGCUUGGAAAACCUUUAUCAACCAAUGUGGUAUCAAUGGAAGUAAAGAGGGGCAGUGGAAGUUCUGGAGUGUACCCAUCUGGAGUUGUUGCAAAGGCAAUUAUCUGUGAAGAGAGUAAAAUAAGGAGAAAAGUGAAAAUAAUCUUUUAAAAUGAGGUUCAGGUGCAUGGAUUUUAAAUACAACUUUCUGGGUCUUUCUGAACUUGAGAUCCUGUAGGAUUACAAAUUCUCCAGGUACACUUAACUGGGAUAUUAUCCUAUUUUCUACUAAUGAGGACUUCAGGCAUAUCAAUGUUUACAUUUGGGUAAGUCUUUUCAAAAGAAUUUUUAAUUUAAAAAGGGUGAAUCAGAAAUGA